rnacentral:rRNA from 1 species
UACGUAGGGGGCGAGCGUUGUCCGGAUUCAUUGGGCGUAAAGCGCGCGUAGGCGGCCCCGCAAGUCGGCCGUGAAAUCUCCGGGCUCAACUCGGAGGGGUCGGGCGAGACUGCGGAGCUCGAGGUGGGCAGAGGGCAGUGGAAUUCCGGGUGUAGUGGUGGAAUGCGCAGAGAUCCGGAGGAACACCAGUGGCGAAGGCGGCUGCCUGGGCCUGGCCUGACGCUGAGGCGCGAAAGCGUGGGGAGCGAGCCGG